ACCAUCCUCGUCCUUGAUACACCUGACCUGGUCUAGGUCACGAGCUUUCCUUUCCCUUGCUUUAGCCAGCCGGAAUAACUUCUUAUCCCCACCUCUCUUCCCUAGUUCCUCAUACAUGCGACUGAACGCCGCGUAUUUAGCUUCCGUGACUGCCAUCUUAGCUUCUCUUCUCGCCUCCCUGUAGAACAACCUGUUCACNNNNNNN
rnacentral:lncRNA from 1 species